GACGAACGCUGGCGGCGUGCCUAAUACAUGCAAGUAGAACGCAGUUGUGAACGGGUGAGUAACGCGUAGGUAACUGCCUCAUAGCGGGGGAUAACUAUUGGAAACGCUAGCUAAUACCCCAUACUGUGAGAUGGACCUGCGUUGGAUUAGCUAGUUGGUGAGGUAAAGGCGCACCAAGGCGACGAUACAUAGCCGACCUGAGAGGGUGAGCGGCCACACUGGGAAUGAGACACGGCCCAGACUCCUACGGGAGGCAGCAGUAGGGAAUCUUCGGCAAUGGACGGAAGUCUGACCGAGCAACGCCGCGGGAGUGAAGAAGGUCUUCGGAUUGUAAAGCUCUGUUGAUAGAGAAGCGGUACCGAACCAGAAAGGGACGGCUAACUACGUGCCAGCCGCCGCGGUAAUUC
rnacentral:rRNA from 1 species